CUACAUACCAAGGCACUGCUUCACAAUACAAUCAAAAGUAAACUCUACAAUGAGAUCCCCACUGUUAGCGACAGCCCUACUCGAAGCUAUUUCCUCCUCCAAUUCAACAGGCUCUUCCCAAUAAGGUCCACUGAAGGGACAAACCCCAGGAAAAUCUCUGAUAACUCCCAACAACCUGUUCAUGUUCGGGUUUACCACUAUGAAGAAUCCUAUGGCUAAGCAAGUAUUCAGGCAUCAAGUACAAAGGACAAGCACAUACGAAUGCUACAUUGCCAAGAAAUUGUUCUAUCCUCCUGAAGGUAACAGAGCUCUCAUCUCAGACCUUUCGGAGGCAAACUGCUACCAGAGGAAGAACUUCCUGCAAAUGGGAAAAGAUGAGUCACAUCAGUGACCCUCUUGGAUCCGGCUUCAGACGAUUCAGCAUGGACCCUGGUCAUUCUAUGGCAUUUUCCUUAGGAUAGGAGACUGUUGCAAAUUUAAGAGCACAUGAAGCUAGCUGGCUUCAUAAGAAAGAAAGAAAGAAAGAAAGAAAGAAAGAAAGAAAGAAAGGUGUUACAAUUUUAAGGACUUAAACGUAGAGUAGAGCUUCCAGUUUUACUGCUUAUCUCAAAUUUUCUGUAAACUUCAAGACACUUAAAUGCAUUUGCAUAUUUCUUGGGAAUUAGCAUUUGAGGGUUCUUUGCCUACUCAUAAACAAGUUUAUAAUAAAACAGUAUACUUUCCACAUUUUGUCUACAAACCAAAAUAAAAUUUGAUCAUAUCUAAGCAUG
rnacentral:lncRNA from 1 species